UACGGGGGGAGCAAGCGUUGUUCGGAUUUACUGGGCGUAAAGGGCGCGUAGGCGGUAGCACAAGUCAGUUGUGAAAUCUCCGGGCUUAACUCGGAAAGGUCAACUGAUACUGUGCGACUAGAGUGCAGAAGGGGCAACUGGAAUUCUCGGUGUAGCGGUGAAAUGCGUAGAUAUCGGGAGGAACACCAGUGGCGAAGGCGGCGAUCUGGGAAGAUACUGACGCUGAGGUGCGAAAGCGUGGGGAGCAAACAGG
rnacentral:rRNA from 1 species